AACGAACGCUGGCGGCAGGCUUAACGCAUGCAAGUCGAGCGCCCCGCAAGGGGAGCGGCAGACGGGUGAGUAACGCGUGGGAAUCUACCCAUCACUACGGAACAACUCCGGGAAACUGGAGCUAAUACCGUAUACGUCCUUCGGGAGAAAGAUUUAUCGGUGAUGGAUGAGCCCGCGUUGGAUUAGCUAGUUGGUGGGGUAAUGGCCCACCAAGGCGACGAUCCAUAGCUGGUCUGAGAGGAUGAUCAGCCACACUGGGACUGAGACACGGCCCAGACUCCUACGGGAGGCAGCAGUGGGGAAUAUUGGACAAUGGGCGCAAGCCUGAUCCAGCCAUGCCGCGUGAGUGAUGAAGGCCCUAGGGUUGUAAAGCUCUUUCACCGGUGAAGAUAAUGACGGUAACCGGAGAAGAAGCCCCGGCUAACUUCGUGCCAGCCGCCGCCGUAA
rnacentral:rRNA from 1 species